rnacentral:lncRNA from 10 species
GGAACAAGUUGGAUUGCUCCGAAUUUCAGUGCCUAUCGGGCAGCCAGUGAACAUUUGUCCAUCUUUAAGGCAUUAAACUGAGAAGAACCACUGAGGAAAGCAUGCCACAGUCUUUCCCAAAAUCCCUGUGUCUUAAGGAACAACCAAGAAGUUAACUGGUCAGGGAAAAGAUUUCUUUUGGAACACAGGUAAGCAAAACCAAGACGCCAUCGGAGACACCCUUGCCUGCAACGGUUGUGGUAUAAAGCAAGAGAAUGAUGGGAGUUGUGAUCCAUACCUCCGUGUGCAUAAUGGUUGUACCUGCUCCAGGAAGGCGCUGGAUCCUCCCAACUCCAUGGGAAGAGAUUAGGACACAAACAACAGACAGAAGGUGACCACAGGAGGACACAGUGAGAAGCUGGCCAUCUGCAAGCCAAGGAGAGAGACCUCAGGAGAAACCAAACCUGCCAGCACCUUAAUCUUAGACUUCUAGCCCUCAGAACGGUGAGGAAAUAAAUCUCUGUUGUUCAUGCCACCCAGUCUGUGGUGUUUUGUUAUGGCCACUCUAGCAGAC